rnacentral:misc_RNA from 1 species
UGGCUGAGCCCCGCCCUAGCAGCCAUGGAACUUGCUCAGAUGGUGACCCAGGCAAUGUGGGGCAAGGACUCGUAUCUCAAACAGCUCCCCCACUUCUCACAGGACAUCAUCAAGCGGUGCCAGGAAAAGAAAAUGGAGAGCAUCUUUGACAUCAUGGAGAUGGAGGAUGAUGAAAGAAACGAGCUUCUACAGCUGACGGAGGAACAGAUGGGCGACGUGGCUCGCUUCUGUAACAAAUACCCAAACAUUGAGAUGUCAUUCGAUGUCCAAGAGAAAGAAGGCAUUCACAGUGGUUCCCCCGUCAAUGUGCUUGUCUCCUUGGAAAGAGAAGAUGAACUGGUGGGACCAGUUGUGGCACCAUUCUUCCCUCAGAAACGAGAGGAAGGCUGGUGGGUGGUGAUAGGAGACAACAAGUCCAACUCGUUGCUGUCCAUCAGGAGACUGACCUUGCAGCAGAAGGCCAAGGUUAAACUAGACUUUGUGGCCCCCUCCCCCGGUCACUACAACUACACCAUCUUUUUCAUGAGCGACGCCUACAUGGGCUGUGACCAGGAGUAUAAAUUCAGCAUCGACGUGAAGGAGGGCGAGAGUGACAGCGAAAGCGACAGUGAUUAGAGUGUUCAACAUUUUACCCCAUGUGUGUUAAAGUGACAUUCGCUGAUUAAUAACUUAAAGUGGGAUGGUUAAAAUUGAAAUAUCUUAGAUUGUCCUGUAUUAAUAUACUUUGAAAUAUGAAAUGAAAAUCAAUGUGCAAAAUGAAAGGACAAAAUAAUCAGUUAGUUUUUGUGUCAGAUAAAUGCAUUGCAAGUGUGCAACAUGUACACUUGCACAAUUUAUUUCAAAGAUUGUGUUAUUCAAAACAGGAAUUUGAAAAUUGAUGAGUUGAUAAUGUCAUUGUUUAUAUUUUGUAUGUAUUUUGUUUUGAAGUCAUUGUGCUUUAACAUAGGCAAUGUUUUAUUGCCUAUCAAAGAUCAUAUAUUUAUGACAUUGAUAAACACUAUUUUGAUAGUUUGUUAAGAAUCAUAACAUAUGUACAUGAAAUAACUGUCAUGAAUCCUUGAAGUAUAUGCUGCAAAGUAUUCAUCAUCAUGAAAGAAAAUGCAUCAUUCUCUUAUACAAUGUAAUAAAUGAUAAACACAC